rnacentral:rRNA from 1 species
GACGAACGCUGGCGGCGUGCUUAACACAUGCAAGUCUACGAGAACGAGGUAGCAAUAUCUCUAUUAAAGUGGCGCACGGGUGCGUAACACGUAAGCAAUCUACCUUUGGGUCUGGAAUAACUUCGAGAAAUCGAGGCUAAUACCGGAUAAUGCAGCGGCACCGCAUGGUGAUGUUGUUAAAGUUUAAGUAAUGCCUAUAGAUGAGCUUGCGUCUGAUUAGCUAGUUGGUAGGGUAAAAGCCUACCAAGGCAACGAUCAGUAGCUGGUCUGAGAGGAUGAUCAGCCACACUGGAACUGAGACACGGUCCAGACUCCUACGGGAGGCAGCAGUGAGGAAUAUUGGGCAAUGCCCGCAAGGGUGACCCAGCAACGCCGCGUGGAGGAUGAAGGCCGUAAGGUUGUAAACUCCUG